AUUAGCGAUUUCCCAGGCAGAGGGAAGAGCUUUUGCAGGGUCCAACAGCAGCAGGAGGAGCAAAGAACUGGAUAGAGGACCAGAUACCCUACGUAUUGCAGGUUGAAACUGUUGCCAGUGGAAAGUUGUUCAGCCAAAGAUGGAGAAGGGCAGGAAAGCCCCGAAGCACACCUUGUCAUCAGGUUGUUUGCAGCACUUCCUGCCUUCGCCCUUCCACAUCGCUGAGACACGUGAGAUGCAAACAGCCAACUGGAGGAGGAAGAGACAAAUGGAAAGUGAUGGAAAAGUGGAGUGAGACAGCUCAGGACGUUUUACCACCGCCUGCAUUACGUUGUGAUGGCAGAUGUUGA
rnacentral:lncRNA from 1 species